UACAGAGGGGGCGAGCGUUGUUCGGAAUUACUGGGCGUAAAGGGCGCGUAGGCGGCCUCUUAAGUCGAACGUGAAAUCCCCGGGCUCAACCCGGGAACUGCGUCCGAUACUGGGGGGCUUGAAUCCGGGAGAGGGAUGUGGAAUUCCAGGUGUAGCGGUGAAAUGCGUAGAUAUCUGGAGGAACACCGGUGGCGAAGGCGGCAUCCUGGACCGGCAUUGACGCUGAGGCGCGAAAGCCAGGGGAGCAAACGGG
rnacentral:rRNA from 1 species